CUCCCUUGCAUGAUGGAAACACCAUGGCUGCGGCGGCCCAGCUCUCUCUGACACAGUUAUCAAGUGGGAAUUCUGUAUAUGAAAAAUACUAUAGACAGGUUGAUACAGGCAAUACUGGAAGGGUGUUGGCUUCUGAUGCUGCUGCUUUCCUGAAAAAAUCAGGGCUUCCAGACUUGAUACUUGGAAAGAUUUGGGAUUUAGCUGACACAGAUGGCAAAGGUAUCCUGAACAAACAAGAAUUCUUUGUUGCUUUGCGUCUUGUGGCAUGUGCCCAGAAUGGAUUGGAAGUUUCACUAAGUAGUUUGAACCUGGCUGUUCCUCCACCAAGAUUUCAUGAUACCAGUAGUCCUUUGCUAAUCAGUGGAACCUCUGCAGCUGAGCUCCCAUGGGCUGUAAAACCUGAAGAUAAGGCCAAAUAUGAUGCAAUAUUUGAUAGUUUAAGCCCAGUGAAUGGAUUUCUGUCUGGUGAUAAAGUGAAACCAGUGUUGCUCAACUCUAAGUUACCUGUGGAUAUCCUUGGAAGAGUUUGGGAGUUGAGUGAUAUUGACCAUGAUGGAAUGCUUGACAGAGAUGAGUUUGCAGUUGUAAGUAAUCUAAUGCUCUUAACAUCUUCAUUAUCUUAAUGAUUUUCUCAUGUGCAAAUUUCCUCUUUUAGUUUAUCCUUAGAGGAAAACUAUAUUCUCAUCAGAUUAUUGGGUGAACUUUUUUUUUUUUCUUUUUGAGACAGAGU
rnacentral:sRNA from 1 species